rnacentral:ncRNA from 1 species
GCGGAGGAAAAGAAAGCAACAGCGAUAGCCUCAGUAACGGCGAGUGAAGCGGCUACAGCUCAAAUUUGAAAUCUGGCUCCCUUUGGGCGUCCGAGUUGUAAUUUGCAGAGGAUGCUUUGGCAUUGGCGGCGGUCUAAGUUCCUUGGAACAGGACAUCGCAGAGGGUGAGAAUCCCGUACGUGGGCGCCUGCCUUUGCCGUGUAAAGCUCCUUCGACGAGUCGAGUUGUUUGGGAAUGCAGCUCUAAAUGGGAGGUAAAUUUCUCCUAAAGCUAAAUACCGGCCAGAGACCGAUAGCGCACAAGUAGAGUGAUCGAAAGAUGAAAAGUACUUUGGAAAGAGAGUCAAAUAGCACGUGAAAUUGUUGAAAGGGAAGCGCUUGCAGCCAGACUUGCCCGCAGUUGCUCACCUAGGCUUUUGCCUGGGGCACUCUUCUGCGGGCAGGCCAGCAUCAGUUUGGGCGGUCGGAUAAAGGUCUCUGUCAUGUACCACCCCUCGGGGUGGCCUUAUAGGGGAGACGCAAUGCGACCAGCCCGGACUGAGGUCCGCGCAUCUGC